UUUCAGUUGGGAUUAGUAGAUAAUCAAAUAUACACAAGAUUUCACCAAAACUAAAAAGCAUUUCUAACAAAAUAAUCAAUAUAUAUAUAUUAUUUUCACAAGUCGAUCUAAACCUUGAUGGUGCAAAACCUCCCUUUCUUUUUCGCUUUAAACAGUUUUUUGAAUAUUCAGAUUAAUGUUAAUAUAAGGCAUUUGUCUUAACCAAAAUUUGCCCAUCAAAACAUCAAAGAUCGAGAAUGCCUUAAAAUACAAUUCAAGUGAUGAGAACAAUAGAUCCAUAGAAUCAAAUUUCAGAGAAUAUCUUUCUAUUCUGAUAAAAGAUCUUUAAAAAUAACGUAUUGUCUAUUCCUAUCAUAAAUUUAAAAAUGCCUUGAGGAGUUACUUCUCAGUGGAACAAAGGAUCUUAGCUCCUCCAUGCGUUACAUGGGGUAUGAUAAAAUUUUAUUAAAUUAAAUAUUUUUUAUAUUAAUUGUAGAUUUGUUUAAAUAAAUGUGAAAACUUGCGAAUGUGUCCGACGAUGAAUUUUCCCUUUUUAAUUCAAAAACAAAAAAGAAAAGAAGAAAGCUGCCUGUUCUGCUCCUCGGGAAAGGAGGGCAAGGAGAACUGGGGAAGAGGGCAUUGGGCUGGGUCCGCGGAACGGUUGUGUUGUUCGCAAAGCCCGAGUAAGCGAGAAGAGAGACGGCAUCAGUGACAGUAAUGGACUUGGCUAAGCCGAAGCACGAUGCCAUGGAACGUCAUGGGAGAAGGGAUCUAAUGUAUUUGGAACAUCAUAUUCACAGCCUGGAAAUUGAAGCUUACAGCUCUGUUUUGAAAGCUUUCAUUGCUCAAUCUGAUCUUCUUUCUUGGGGCAAAGAGGGGCUUAUAUCUGAUCUGCGGAAGGAACUAAAUGUCACAGAUGCAGAACAUGGGGCGAUCCUAAUUGCAGUCAACUCAGAUGAGUCAGUUAAAAGGAUAAGGGAGCAGAGAACACUGCCAACUCAUGCUGAAAAUUGUGUUAAAGUCAACAAUCCCAGGCAUGGUUCUGGUUCAGUGCAAAAUUCUUCAAUAAUGAUGAAGACUUCAUCUCCUUUUGCAUAUCUUCCUCAGAAGAAUAUGUUACUCUGUCAAUCCUCUCAUGCAGCUUUUCCUAUUCCUUCUUCAGUGCCUCCAAAAUUUAAAGCUGAUCGAAAGACAGCUGAACUAGCCAUGUUCUCCUGUGGAAGUUCGGAGCAGUCUGCAGGAAUGAUUAAACAUAAAGUUCAGGGAUUGGGGAAAAUAAAACAUCAAUUAGAGAAGGGAUUUGACAAAUCUGGUUUUAGCAACAUAGAGAGUAGAUCCAAUGUUACUGAGAUGCAUGCAACAAACAGGGUUACACUUAAUAGUAGACUACCACAAAGCACACUUUUUUGCUGGCGCAGCCACAUUUCAAUGCUGAUGACAACCAUAUCAUAUGUGAGGGUUGAAUCUAAUUUUCUACUACAAUUCAGGGAAAGUAUGCUGCUUUCCUCGUUUGCUUUCUCUUGUCUUUCCUUUUCCUUUUUUCGGGAGACUUUGUCUACAUCCUUUAUACGUGUAUUACAGCAAUUUAUGGAAUGCCUGGAAAUUAAUGUUAUUUCCUGUUGAAGGCUAGCUUUCCUAUGUAUGGCUGGUACCUGGAUUUGGUUUUUAUUGUAUUUGGUCUCCUCUAACUUUCUUUAUAGUAUAGCACUGUGAGCAUGAAUUAUAUAUUACGUUGGUUUACUAAUCAUUGUUGUUUUGUCCUUAUUAAAUAAAGUUGUUCUGCUGCAUUAUGUUUUUCAAUGCUUUCUUACACCUAGCAAUAAAUUUUCUUUAUUCCAUUGUAUUGUUCAAAAAGCACCUGUUCUUAUAUAAGUGAUGCAAGAUAUUUACCCAUUUUCCCUGUUCAAAAAGCACCUGUUCUUUAUUGUAUUGUUCAAAUUCAAAAAGCACUUGUGUUUGGUGUUGAAUUCAUUAUGAAUUAUUGACAUAUAUUGUAAUUGCUGUUACAGGGUAGAAAACAUAUAUUGGAAUUGCUGGUCUCUUUGCAGUAUGUAAUUUUCUUGUAUUUGGCAGGUUGAGAAGAUGCUCUUCGAUGGAGAGAAACUUGACCCAAUUGUGGUUGAUAAAGCUAAAUGUACCCUUAGGGUAACUCCUGUCAAUCAAGGAGCAAGAAAGGGCUAUACUUGAAGCACUUGCUAAACUGACUGACAAACUAUAGA